rnacentral:rRNA from 1 species
AGAGUUUGAUCCUGGCUCAGGAUGAACGCUGGCGGCGUGCUUAACACAUGCAAGUCGAACGAUGAUCCCAGCUUGCUGGGGGAUUAGUGGCGAACGGGUGAGUAACACGUGAGUAACCUGCCCUUAACUCUGGGAUAAGCCUGGGAAACUGGGUCUAAUACCGGAUAUGACUCCUCAUCGCAUGGUGGGGGGUGGAAAGCUUUAUUGUGGUUUUGGAUGGACUCGCGGCCUAUCAGCUUGUUGGUGAGGUAAUGGCUCACCAAGGCGACGACGGGUAGCCGGCCUGAGAGGGUGACCGGCCACACUGGGACUGAGACACGGCCCAGACUCCUACGGGAGGCAGCAGUGGGGAAUAUUGCACAAUGGGCGAAAGCCUGAUGCAGCGACGCCGCGUGAGGGAUGACGGCCUUCGGGUUGUAAACCUCUUUCAGUAGGGAAGAAGCGAAAGUGACGGUACCUGCAGAAGAAGCGCCGGCUAACUACGUGCCAGCAGCCGCGGUAAUACGUAGGGCGCAAGCGUUAUCCGGAAUUAUUGGGCGUAAAGAGCUCGUAGGCGGUUUGUCGCGUCUGCCGUGAAAGUCCGGGGCUCAACUCCGGAUCUGCGGUGGGUACGGGCAGACUAGAGUGAUGUAGGGGAGACUGGAAUUCCUGGUGUAGCGGUGAAAUGCGCAGAUAUCAGGAGGAACACCGAUGGCGAGGGCAGGUCUCUGGGCAUUAACUGACGCUGAGGAGCGAAAGCAUGGGGAGCGAACAGGAUUAGAUACCCCAGUAGUCC